rnacentral:rRNA from 1 species
CACGUAGGAGGCGAGCGUUGUCCGGAAUCAUUGGGCGUAAAGAGCGCGCAGGCGGCCUGACAAGUCGGGUGUGAAAUCCCGGGGCUCAACCCCGGGACUGCAUCCGAUACUUUCAGGCUAGAGGUAGGUAGGGGAGAUCGGAAUUCCUGGUGUAGCGGUGAAAUGCGCAGAUAUCAGGAGGAACACCGGUGGCGAAGGCGGAUCUCUGGGCCUUACCUGACGCUCAGGCGCGAAAGCUAGGGGAGCGAACAGG